rnacentral:tRNA from 1 species
GGAGGGCUGUCCGAGUGGUCGAUGGUGGCUGACUUGAAAUCAGCUGGGCGUAAGCCCCAGGGGUUCGAAUCCUCUGCCCUCCGCCA